AUGAAUGCUAAAUAUAAACUUGCUGGAGAUAAGGGUAGAAAACAUGUUGUGUUUGCACCUGGAGAUCUUGUUUGGUUACAUUUGCGUAAGGAUAGAUUUCCUGAUUUGCGCAAAUCAAAGCUAAUGCCACGUGCUGAUGGUCCUUUUAAGGUGUUAGAGAAAAUAAAUGAUAAUGCAUAUAAACUUGAGCUGCCUGCAGAUUUUGGGGUUAGUCCCACUUUUAACAUUGCAGAUUUGAAGCCUUAUUUGGGUGAGGAAGAUGAGCUUCCGUCGAGGACGACUUUAUUUCAAGAAGGGGAGGAUGAUGAGGACAUCAAUACCAUUGUUACACCCACAGCCCCUGCUGCUAUACAUACUGGACCAAUUACUAGAGCUCGCGCACGCCAAUUAAAUUACCAGGUACUUUCGUUUCUUGGUAAUGAUUCUAAUAUUCAUGAGAAUAUGAUGCUGCCUAAAUUGGAUACAUUUGUUUUGCUUACAAAUGAAGGGCCUAGCUUUGAGAAGGAUGAACAUUGGAGCAAGAACAAGCAUGGAGAUGAUGGCAUGCGCAUGGGGAACAAGAACGGAGUUACAAGUGAUGAUUUCAGGACUUUGAAGCCACCAUAA
rnacentral:rRNA from 1 species